rnacentral:rRNA from 1 species
CAAAGGAAGCGAUUCCGGCGGGGGAUGGGCAUGCGGCGCAUUAGCUAGUCGGCGGGGUAACGGCCCACCGAGGCGACGAUGCGUAGGGGUUCUGAGAGGAAGGUCCCCCACACUGGUACUGAGACACGGACCAGACUCCUACGGGAGGCAGCAGUGAGGAAUAUUGGUCAAUGGGCGGGAGCCUGAACCAGCCAAGUCGCGUGAGGGAAGACGGUCCUACGGAUUGUAAACCUCUUUUGCCGGGGAGCAACGGGGUCCUUGCGAGGGCCCGAUGAGAGUACCCGGAGAAAAAGCAUCGGCUAACUCCGUGCCAGCAGCCGCGGUAAUACGGAGGAUGCGAGCGUUAUCCGGAUUUAUUGGGUUUAAAGGGUGCGUAGGCGGGCUGUUAAGUCAGCGGUCAAAUGUCGGGGCUCAACCCCGGCCUGCCGUUGAAACUGGCGGCCUCGAGUGGGCGAGAAGUAUGCGGAAUGCGUGGUGUAGCGGUGAAAUGUAUAGAUAUCACGCAGAACUCCGAUUGCGAAGGCAGCAUACCGGCGCCCGACUGACGCUGAGGCACGAAAGCGUGGGUAUCGAACAGGAUUAGAUACCCUGGUAGUCCACGCAGUAAACGAUGAAUGCUAGCUGUCCGGUUCUACGGGACUGG